AUUAAUUACCAAUUAUCAUAAUAAGUGUGUAAAACAGCAAGUUAGAUAUGCGAAAGUCAACAAGGCAUAAAAACUACACAGCACACACUGAUCUGGUGUCACAAGUCUAGAGCCUCUAAUACAAGUCUGAACAACCUACUACAUAGAUAGUCUAGGAAUGCGGAAAAGUACUAAUAUAGAAGGGAGAAAUCAGGGCUGCGGACAUCAUGCAGCUACCUCGAAAUCCCCGGCAAUUGCUGAACGACUGAAAAGCUCUCACUCGGCCUCUGGGGCACCUGGAUUUGCACGCAAGGUGCAGGGAGUAAUGUGAGUACUCCGACCCAGUGAGUAAUAAAGAUAAAUAAUGACUGAAACUAAGAAACCACGUGUACACAUGGUAUUCUAUAAUGAAGAAAUUAAAUAGGUAAUUUGUAAGCAAUAAACCAAUGAAAAGUAAAAUAAAGUACUUCUACAAUAAAUAAAUAGGUAAUUGACAAACAGUUAUGGUAAAGUAAACACAUAGAAGUUCUCCCCUCGGGCACCGUAUCAAUAAUUUCCGCCCCUCGGGUUCAAUCUCACAUCACAAUGGGUACCCACGCUCACUGGAGGUGUGCAGACUCCGGGAGGGGCCCCUUACGGCCCAAGCGCAAUAUCAAGCCAUCUCGUGACAUCAUAUCUAGGCCCUCGGCCUCAUAUCAAUCAAGCCACCUCGUGGCGUAUAUAUGUAUCUCAGGCUCUUAGCCUCAUAUCAGUAUCAGUGUUCCUUAUAAUAUAGGCCCUCGGCCUUACUCAGUCCAAAAAAAUCAUCACAAGCCCCUUGGGCUAUAGUAAAACAGUGUUUUCAGCCCAAACAUCAUUUAAAAUAUCAUUUAAGUCUUGAAAACUGAGAAAGAAUGGUUGAAUAGUAAAAACAUUGGGAAAAUAUCAUGACUGAGUUCAAGUAACAAGUCAAAACAGUGAGGAAAUAUCACUAAAUAGCCCCGAAGGAUUCAAAUAGUUGGCACUAGGCCCAAUUAUGACAUUCAGCCCAAAUAAUGAUGACAACACAUAGUUUACAAUCAAAUACGCGGUAAAAUCAUCAAUCGGGACGGACCAAGUCACAAUCUCCAAUAGUAUACGACCCCACGCUCAUCAUCAAGCGCGUGUCUCACCUCAAUAUAGCACUACGAAGUGCAAAUCCGGGGUUUCAAACCCUCAGGACAUCAUUUACAAUCAUUACUCACCUUGAACCGGCUAACUCUCUAACUCGCGACGCAUUUGCCCCUCGAAUCGGCCUCCACGCGCGUCGAAUCUAACCAAAAUCAGAAUGAAUACGUCAUAAUAUUCUAAGGGAAUGAAGCCUUAGCGAAAAUAAUCGAAAAAUACCAAAAAUCCCGAAAUUAGCAAAAACCCGAGCCCCGGGCCCACUUCUCGAAACUCAGAAUUUUUCACAUCAUUAGAUUCCUCGUCUCCUCACGAGGUCAUACAAAUCAAAAACAUAAGAAUCGGAGCUCAAAUGACCCCUCAAAUCCUCAAUUUAAGCCCUCUUAAACUCAAGCCUUAAACCUCCAUUUUUAGUCCUUCAAUUCCUUAAAUUUCAGUCCCAAUCCAUGAAAUAUUAACAUAGAAGUAUGUUUUAGGUCCAAAAUCCUUAUCUCAACGAAGUUCUCUUGAAAUCUUCCUUCAAAAUCGCCCAAAAGCUCUCAAUCCGAAGUUAAAAUGGUUAAACCCUUCCAAAAUCGCGAAGAAAAAAUAUAUAUACAUUCUGCCCAGGGGUUUUCGCGUCUGCGACCCUUCUACCGCUUCUGGUGUACCACAUUUGCGGUCACAAGUCUGCUUCUACUGAAUUCACUUAACCAGCCCAAAUCCGCUCCUGCGAUCGCCCUUUCGCAUCUGCGAUUCCACAGAUGCGGCCCAAAACUCUGCUUCUGUGGUUCCUGACCCUCAUCCCAAAUCUCGCAUCUGCGGCCUUCUCCCUCGCAUGUGCGGCACCGCACCUGCGGUCCCCAAGCCACAAGUGCGAAAACACCAGAAGCAACAAUUUUUCUGAAAUCUCUUAAGUCCCAAUUCUUCCCGUUAACCAUCCGAAAUCACCCCGAGGCCUCCGGGACCUCAACCAAAAGCACAAACAUGACAAUACCUUAUUCAAACUUGUUCCAAUCAUCAAAACACCUCAAACAACAUCAAAUUACCCAAAACUCAUCGAAUUCAAGCCUAAGUUCCUAAAAUCUCCGAAACACGCUUUUGAUCAAAAACCCAACCAAACCACGUCCGAAUGACCUGAAAUUUUGCACACACAUCCCAAAUGACACAACGAAGUUACUGAAACUCUCGGAAUUCCAUUCCGAACCUUAUACCAAAAUCUCACCUAUCAACCGGAAAUCCCCAUAAUAUCAACUUCGCCAUUCAAGCCUAAUUCUACUCCGAACCUCCAAAACCAAUUCCGAUCACGCUCCUAAGCCAUAAAUCACCUCUCUGAGCUAACCGAACCAUCGGAACUCACAUCCGAGCUCUCUAAUACAUAAGUCAACAUACGGUUGACUUUUCCAACUUAAACCUUCUUAAAAGAGACUAAGUGUCUCAUUUCUUAUCAAAUCCUCUCUGAACUCAAACUUAUCAAUCCGAUCACAUAAAACACGGAUAAAGAAGCAUAAAGAAGCAAAAAUGGGGGAAACAAAGCGGUAACUCAUGAGACGACUGGCCGGGUCGUCAUAUCCUCCCCAACUUAAACAAACGUUCGUCCUCGAACGAGUCAAGAAACAUACCUGAAGCCUCAAAUAGGUGAGGAUAUCUGCUCCGCAUCUCCCGCUCAGUCUCCCAGGUAGCCUCCUCCACGGGCCAACCUCUCCACUGCACUUUCACUGAAGCUAUAUCCUUUGACCUCUACUUCUGAACCUGACGACCCAAAAUAGCUACCGGCUACACAUCAAAGGUCAAAUCAUCAUCCAACUGAACCGUGCUGAAGUCCGAAACAUGAGACGGAUCUCCAAUAUACUUUCAGAGCAUAAAAACAAGAAAUACCGAAUGCACACUCGACAAGCUAGGUGGAAAAGCAAGCUCAUAAGCCACCUCCUAAAUCCUCUGAAGCACCUCAAAAGGCCCAAUGAACCGAGGACUAAAUUUCCCUUUCCUCCCAAAUCUCAUAACACCCUUGAUGGGUGAGACCUUCAACAGAACCUUCUCGCCAACCAUGUAGGACACAUCUCGAACCUUCCUAUCAGCAUAACUCUUUUGCCUUGACUUUGCAGUACGAAGCCUCUCCUGAAUCACCUUCACCUUCUCCAAAUCAUCCUGUACCAAAUCAAUCCCCAAUAGUCUAGCCUCGUCGGGCUCGAACCAACCAACUAGAGAUCUACACCGCCUCACGUACAAAGCCUCAUAUGGAGCCAUCUGAAUACUCAACUGGUAGCUACUGUUAUAAGCAAACUCUGCAAGCGGUAGAAACUCAUCCCAUGAUCCUCCAAAAUCGAUGACACAAGCACGCAACAUUUCCUCCAAUAUAUGAAUAGUACGCUCGGAUUGCCCGUCCAUCUGAGGAUGAAAAGUUGUGCUCAACUCUACCUGAGUACCCAACUCUCUUUACACGACCCUCUAAAACUGCGAAGUAAACUGAGUACCUCUAUCUGAAAUGAUGGAGACUAGGACACCAUGCAAACGAAUAAUCUCUCGGAUAUAGAUCCCUACCAACCGCUCUGAAGAAUAGGUAGUACACAUAGGAAUGAAGUGCGCGGACUUGGUCAGCCGAUCCACAAUCACCCAAACAGCAUCGAACUUCUUCAAAGUCCGUGGAAGUCCAACAACAGAGUCUAUAGUGAUCCUAUCACACUUCCACUCAGGAAUAUCCAUCUGAUGAAGCAAGCCACCCAGUCUCUGAUGCUCAUAUUUCACCUACUAAAAAUUGAGACACCGAGCUACAAAUUCCACAAUAUCUUUCUUCAUUAUUCUCCACCAAUAGUGUUGCCUCAAAUCCUGAUACAUCUUCGCGGCACCCGGAUGAAUGGAAUACCGCGAGCUAUGGGCCUCCUCCAGGAUCAACUCCCGAAGCCCAUCCACAUAUGGAACGCAAAUCCGACCCUGCACCCUCAAUACCCCAUCAUCACCAAUGGUCACAUCCCUGACAUCAUCAUGUUGAACCCUGUCCUUAAGGACAAGCAAAUGCGGAUCAUCAUACUGGUGCUCUCUGAUGCGAUCAUAUAGGGAAGAUCGAGAAACUACACAAGACAAAACCCGACUGGGCUCCGAAAUAUCUAAUCUCACAAACCGAUUGGCCAAGGUCUGAACAUCAACUGCAAGAGGUCUCUCCCCAAUUAGAAUAUAUGCCAAACUCCCCAUACUCAGUGCCCUCCGGCUCAAAGCAUCGGCCACCACAUUGGUCUUUCCCGGAUGGUACAAUAUAGUGAUAUAGUAAUCCUUAAGCAACUCCAACCAUCUCCGCAGCCUCAAAUUAAGAUCAUUUUGCUUGAAUAAAUGUUGAAGACUGCGAUGAUCAGUGAACAUCUCACAAGAUACACCAUACAGGUAAUGCCUCCAAAUCUUUAAUCCGUGAACUAUGGUAGCCAACUCCAAAUCAUGAGCGGGGUAGUUCUUCUCAUGGGGCUUCAACUGACGAAAAGCAUAAGCAAUAACUCUACCCUCCUACAUCAAUACACAACCAAUCCCAACUCUUGAAGCAUCACAAUACACGGCAUAUGAACCUGAAGCUGAUGGAAAAAUCAAUACUGGAGUUGUGGUCAAAGUUUUCUUGAGCUUCUGAAAGCUCUCCUCACACUCGUCCAACCAUACAAAUGGACCACCCUUCUAAGUCAACUUGGUCAAGGCGAUGCGAUAGAUUAGAAUCCCUGAACAAACCGGCGAUAAUAGCCUGCCAAACCAAGAAAGCUAAGAAUCUCAGUGGCUGAGGACGGUCUAGGCCAACUCUGAACCACCUCUAUCUUCUUCGGAUCAACCUGAAUACCCUCGCUGGACACCACGUGCCCUAAGAAAGCCACUGAACUGAGCCAAAACUCACACUCGGAGAAUUUUGCAUAAAGCUUUUCCUCCCUCAAUCUCUGCAACACAACCCUCAAAUGCUUCAUGUGCUCCUCCUGACUACGCGAGUACACUAGAAUAUCAUCAAUGAAGACUAUGACAAAUGAAUCGAGAUAAGGCCGGAACACGUUGUUCAUCAAAUGCAUGAAUGCUGCUGGGGCAUUGGUUAGCCCGAAAUACAUCACAAGGAACUCAUAAUGACCAUAUCUGGUCCUGUAAGAAGCCUUAAGAAUAUCUGAAUCCCUGAUCUUCAACUGAUGAUAACCCGAACAGAGAUCAAUCUUGGAGAAAACUCUCGCUCCCUGAAGCUGGUCAAAUAAAUUAUCAAUGUGAGGCAAAGGAUACUUGUUCUUAAUUGUUACUUUGUUCAAUUGCCUAUAAUCAAUGCACAUUCUCAUUGUGCCAUCCUUCUUCUUUACAAACAGAACUAGCGCACCCCAAGGUGACACACUAGGCCGAAUGAACCCCUUAUCUAGGAGUUCCUGAAGCUGAUACUUCAAUUCCUUCAACUCCGCUGGUGCCAUACGAUACGGCGGAAUAGAAAUGGGGUGCGUGCCCGGCACCAAGUCAAUACCAAAACCAACAUCACUGUCCGGCGGCAUGCAUGGCAGGUCUGCAAUAAACACAUCGAGAAAAUCCCUCACAAUUGGGAUAGAAUCAAUACUGGGAGUCUCAGCUCCGACAUCCCUCACAAACACUAGAUAUGAAAGGCAGCCCUUCCCAACCAUACGCUAGGCCUUCAAGAAAGAGAUCACUCUACUAGGAACAUAAUCAGUCACACCACACCACUCGAUCUGCGGCACACCCGACAUAGCCAAAGCGACUAUCUUAGGAUGACAGUCCAGAAUAGCACGACACGGAGAUAACCAAUACAUGCCCAAAAUGACAUCAAAAUCCACUAUGCUCAAUAGCAAUAGAUCUACUUGGGUCUCCAGACCCCCAAUAGUCACCACACAUAACCGGUAUACACGGUCUACAACAAUAGUAUUGCCCACCGGGGUAGAUACAUGAACAGGUAAAGCAAGAAACUACAGGGGCAUAUCCAAAUAAUGAGCAAAAUACAAGGACAUAUAAGAAAAGGUGGAACUGGGAUCAAAUAAUAUAGAGGCAUCUCUGUGGCAGACUGAAAAAAUACCUGUAAUGACAACAUCUG
rnacentral:lncRNA from 1 species